UACAUGGGGUGCAAACGUUGCUAGGAAUUAUUGGGCGUAAAGCGCACGUAGGCGGUCCGUUAAGUCAGAUGUGAAAGCCCCCGGCUCAACCGGGGAAGUGCAUCUGAAACUGGCGGGCUAGAGUACGAAAGAGGGUCGCGGAAUUCCCGGUGUAGAGGUGAAAUUCGUAGAUAUCGGGAGGAACACCGGUGGCGAAGGCGGCGACCUGGGUCGAUACUGACGCUGAGGUGCGAAAGCGUGGGGAGCAAACAGG
rnacentral:rRNA from 1 species